rnacentral:rRNA from 1 species
UACGAAGGGGGCUAGCGUUGUUCGGAAUUACUGGGCGUAAAGCGUGCGCAGGCGGUGAUGUAAGACAGAUGUGAAAUCCCCGGGCUCAACCUGGGAACUGCAUUUGUGACUGCAUCGCUGGAGUGCGGCAGAGGGGGAUGGAAUUCCGCGUGUAGCAGUGAAAUGCGUAGAUAUGCGGAGGAACACCGAUGGCGAAGGCAAUCCCCUGGGCCUGCACUGACGCUCAUGCACGAAAGCGUGGGGAGCAACAGG